UAAGGUAGCGAAAUUCCUUGUCGGGUAAGUUCCGACCUGCACGAAUGGUGUAACGAUCUGGGCGCUGUCUCAGCCGUGAGCUCGGUGAAAUUGUAGUCUCGGUGAAGAUGCCGAGUACCCGCCACGGGACGGAAAGACCCCGUGCACCUUUACUAUAGGUUGCCAUUGGUGUUGGGUUCGGCAUGUGUAGCAUAGGCGGGAGGCGCUGAGCCGGGGACGCUAGUUCUCGGGGAGCCGACGUUGAAAUACCGCCCUUGCCGUGCCUGAUGCCUAAUCCCGGAUUCCGGGAGACAGUGGCUGCUGGGUAGUUUGACUGGGGUGGUCGCCUCCAAAAGAGUAUCGGAGGCUUUCAAAGGUCCGCUCAGUCCGCUUGGUAACCGGACGCAGAGCGCAAUAGCAGAAGCGGGCUUGACUGUGAGGCCGACUAGCCGAGCAGGGUCGAAAGACGGAUAUAGUGAUCCGGUGGUUCCGCAUGGAAGGGCCAUCGCUCAAAGGAUAAAAGGUACGCCGGGGAUAACAGGCUGAU
rnacentral:rRNA from 11 species